rnacentral:rRNA from 1 species
UACGUAGGGGGCAAGCGUUGUCCGGACUUACUGGGCGUAAAGCGUGUGCAGGCGGGCCGCUAUGUGCCGUGUGAAAGCUCUCAGCUUAUCUGGGAGAGGUCGCGGUAGACAGGCAGCCUGGAGGCUCGGAGAGGUCAGUGGAAUUCUCGGUGUAGUGGUGAAAUGCGUAGAUAUCGAGAGGAACACCUGCGGCGAAGGCGGGUUGCUGGGCUGACACUGACGCUGAUGCGCGAAAGCUAGGGGGAGCAAACGGG